GGCUCGGCCAGGCCAGGGCUGCUUCCUUCCUUCCCUCAGCUAAGGCCUCGAGCGCUCCCCGGGGCCGCGGGCUGCGCGCAGGUUCCCGGGGCAGGUGCCAGAGGGUUAUUUCCCUCAGCCCGGACUGACUGCUUUUAACAGCCCUCCUACCCUCACGCUCCGGGAGGGUGUCUUCCUCGUCCUACUCCCUGCCCACCACUGAGCUCCCUGGCUGCUUCCCAAGGUCCUCCUUCUGUCCCCUGCACCCUGAUCCCCCCCCACAGCACCACCGAGGCCUCAGCCACCCAACUGCCAGCUUUGUCGAGAGACACUACAGAGAACACUGAUGGGGGCACCCACCGACCACGCUUCCUCACCGAAGGAGGCACAGUCAGCCUCCAUCUGCGCGACACAACAAGCCCAGAGCCUGACGGGCCAGGAGAAGGCAGUGGGGACCAGGAGUGAGCCUAGAAGGGCAGCAGAGAUGAAGCACAACCAAAUGGCCCUUCCAUCAAUGUAGGCUAAUGGCCCCUUCUCCCAGGGACUCCCAACCCCCCUCCAAG
rnacentral:lncRNA from 1 species